rnacentral:rRNA from 1 species
GACGAACGCUGGCGGCGUGCUUAACACAUGCAAGUGGUGCGACGAACCAGGCUUCGGCCUGGGGCGAAGCCGCGAACGGGUGAGUAACACGUGAGCAAUCUGCCCUUGACUCCGGGAUAAGCGCUGGAAACGGCGUCUAAUACUGGAUACGAGCUGCGAAGGCAUCUUCAGCAGCUGGAAAGAACUUCGGUCAAGGAUGAGCUCGCGGCCUAUCAGCUUGUUGGUGAGGUAAUGGCUCACCAAGGCGUCGACGGGUAGCCGGCCUGAGAGGGGGACCGGCCACACUGGGACUGAGACACGGCCCAGACUCCUACGGGAGGCAGCAGUGGGGAAUAUUGCACAAUGGGCGCAAGCCUGAUGCAGCAACGCCUCGUGAGGGACGACGGCCUUCGGGUUGUAAACCUCUUUUAGCAGGGAAGAAGCGAAAGUGACGGUACCUGCAGAAAAAGCACCGGCUAACUACGUGCCAGCCGCCGCUGUAA